rnacentral:rRNA from 1 species
GAUGAACGCUGGCGGCGUGCCUAAUACAUGCAAGUCGAGCGAACAGACGAGGAGCUUGCUCCUCUGACGUUAGCGGCGGACGGGUGAGUAACACGUGGAUAACCUACCUAUAAGACUGGGAUAACUUCGGGAAACCGGAGCUAAUACAGGAUAAUAUAUUGAACCGCAUGGUUCAAUAGUGAAAGACGGUUUUGCUGUCACUUAUAGAUGGAUCCGCGCCGCAUUAGCUAGUUGGUAAGGUAACGGCUUACCAAGGCAACGAUGCGUAGCCGACCUGAGAGGGUGAUCGGCCACACUGGAACUGAGACACGGUCCAGACUCCUACGGGAGGCAGCAGUAGGGAAUCUUCCGCAAUGGGCGAAAGCUUGACGGAGCGACGCCGCGUGAGUGAUGAAGGUCUUCGGAUCGUAAAACUCUGUUAUUAGGGAAGAACAAAUGUGUAAGUAACUAUGCACGUCUUGACGGUACCUAAUCAGAAAGCCACGGCUAACUACGUG